rnacentral:rRNA from 1 species
UACGGGGGGGGCAAGCGUUGUUCGGAAUUACUGGGCGUAAAGGGCUCGUAGGCGGCCAACUAAGUCAGACGUGAAAUCCCUCGGCUUAACCGGGGAACUGCGUCUGAUACUGGAUGGCUUGAGGUUGGGAGAGGGAUGCGGAAUUCCAGGUGUAGCGGUGAAAUGCGUAGAUAUCUGGAGGAACACCGAUGGCGAAGGCAGGUCUCUGGGCUGACACUGACGCUCAUGCACGAAAGCGUGGGGAGCAAACAGG